rnacentral:rRNA from 1 species
UAAACUGAAGAGUUUGAUCAUGGCUCAGAUUGAACGCUGGCGGCAGGCUUAACACAUGCAAGUCGAGCGGGGAAGUGUAGCUUGCUACAUUACCUAGCGGCGGACGGGUGAGUAAUGCUUAGGAAUCUGCCUAUUAGUGGGGGACAACAUUCCGAAAGGAAUGCUAAUACCGCAUACGUCCUACGGGAGAAAGCAGGGGAUCUUCGGACCUUGCGCUAAUAGAUGAGCCUAAGUCGGAUUAGCUAGUUGGUGGGGUAAAGGCCUACCAAGGCGACGAUCUGUAGCGGGUCUGAGAGGAUGAUCCGCCACACUGGGACUGAGACACGGCCCAGACUCCUACGGGAGGCAGCAGUGGGGAAUAUUGGACAAUGGGCGGAAGCCUGAUCCAGCCAUGCCGCGUGUGUGAAGAAGGCCUUUUGGUUGUAAAGCACUUUAAGCGAGGAGGAGGCUACU